rnacentral:tRNA from 2 species
GGAGGAUUCGCAUAGUGGCCUAGUGCGCACGAUUGGAAAUCGUGUUGGGGUAAAACCCUCGCGGGUUCAAAUCCCGCAUCCUCCG